GCCCGCAGGGAGUGGCUGACGGGUUAGUACGCGUGGGAACAUACCCUUUUCCUGCGGAAUAGCUCCGGGAAACUGGAAUUAAUACCGCAUACGCCCUACGCGGGUGAAAGAUUUAUCGGGGAAGGAUGGCCCGCUGGUUGGNUUACCUUAUUGGUGNGGUAGAGGCCUACCAAGGCGACAUCCAGUAGUCUCGUCUGAAAGAUGAUCAGCCAGCAUUGCGGACUGAACACGGCCAAACUCCAUACGGGAGGCAGANGUGGGGAAUAUUGGACAAUGGGCGCAAGCCUGAUCCAUGCCAUGCCGCGUGAGUGAUGAAUGGCCUUAGGGUUGUAAAGCUCUUUCACCGAGUCAANAUAUGACGGUGUCGGAGAAGAAGACCCCGGCUAACUUCGUGCCAAACAGCCGCGGUAAUACGAAGGGGGCUAGACGUANGUUCGGAAUUACUGGGCGUNAAGCGCACGUAGGCGUGAUAUUUAGAGUCAGGGGUGAAAUCCCGCNAGCUCAACUGCAGGAACUGCCUUUGAUACUGGGUAUCUUGAGUAUGGAACGAGGUAAGUGGAAUUCCGAGUGUAGAGGUAAAUUCGUAGAUAUUCGGAGGAACACCAAUGGCGAAGCGGCUUACUGGUCCAAUUACUGACGCUUAUGUGCGAAAAGCGUGGGGAGCAAAACAGGAUUANAUACCCAUGGUAGUCCACGACCGUAACGCAUGACAUGUAGCCCGUCGGAGCAGAUAUACAUGUUCGGUGACGCAGUUAACAGCAUUAAACAUUCCNGCUGGGGANUACGGUCGCACGAUUUAAACUCACAAGGAAUGAUCAGGGGGACCCCACNAGACGGGUGAGCAUGUGGUUUAAUACGAAAGCAGCAGCGACAAACCUACAGAUCUUGAAUUCGGG
rnacentral:rRNA from 1 species